rnacentral:piRNA from 1 species
AAGUGAUAGAAAUUAUUGUGGGAAGC